UGCAAGUCGAACGAGAACGGACUUAAGCUUGCUUAAGUUGUCAGCUAAGUGGCGCACGGGUGAGUAAUGUAUAGUUAACCUGCCCUCGAGAAAGGAAUAACAGAUGGAAACGUCUGCUAAUGCCCUAUAUGCCCAUAAUACAUAAGUAUGCUGGGGAAAUGCUUUAGUGCUCGAGGAUGGGACUGUAUGGUAUCAGAUAGUUGGUGAGGUAAUGGCUCACCAAGUCAAUGACGCCUAACUGGUUUGAGAGGAUGAUCAGUCACACUGGAACUGAGACACGGUCCAGACUCCUACGGGAGGCAGCAGUGGGGGAUAUUGCACAAUGGAGGAAACUCUGAUGCAGCAACGCCGCGUGGAGGAUGACACUUUUCGGAGCGUAAACUCCUUUUAUAUAGGAAGAUAAUGACGGUACUAUAUGAAUAAGCACCGGCUAACUCCGUGCCAGCAGCCGCGGUAAUACGGAGGGUGCAAGCGUUACUCGGAAUCACUGGGCGUAAAGAGCGUGUAGGCGGGUUAUUAAGUCA
rnacentral:rRNA from 1 species